rnacentral:sRNA from 1 species
GCCAGGCACGGUGGUGCACGCCUGUAAUCCCAGCAGCUCUGGAGGCUGAGAAGGGAGGAUCACAAAUUCAAAGCUAGUCUCAGCAAAAGCAAGGCGCUAAGGAACUCAGUGAGACCCUGUCUCUA